rnacentral:sRNA from 1 species
GUCGGGGUUAAUAAAGUGCACGUGGGUGUCGAUCGCCCCGGCGGUGAGGAUCUUGUGUUCGCCCGAGAUGACGUCGGUGGCCACGCCUACGGGGAUGGUUACGCCAUCUUGUACCAGCGGGUUCCCAGCCUUACCGAUGCCGAAAAUAUGCCCAUCGCGCAGUGCGACAUCGGCCUUAUAAAUCCCCGUAUAGUCCAGGACCACCACGUUGGUGAUGACGGUAUCCGGAAUGCCAUCUUCGCGGAGGCGUUGACCGUUCUGGCCCAUCCCGUCGCG